rnacentral:lncRNA from 1 species
AUCACACGGUAUAGCUGACUUAUAUAAAUCCUGAAACCAAAUUUCAGAAAUCCUUGUAUUGUAGUUCCUGAGAAAAAUGUGAGGAAAAUUUUCAACUUGGCUAUCAUGUGUAAAAUCAGACAAGUGUUCGGUAAACAGGAAGUUGUCAAGUGAUUAAUCUGAAAACGCAUCACACGGUGUGGCUGACAUAUAUAAAUGUUGAUACCAAAUUACAGAAAGGGUGGAUGUGUAGUUCCUGAGAAAAAUGUGACGAAAGUUUCAUGGGACGGAUUGACUGACGGACGGACUGACAGACAGACAGAGGUAAAACAGUAUACCCCCCCUUUUUUAAAGCGGGGGUAUAAUAAUAAUC